AUGAGCAACUUUAACAAAUAUUCAUAUCAGUCAGACAUCCAGUUUGGGAUAUUACCGUACAAAACCAGCUGGAGCCCGGAUACCAGUUAUAAAUCUACCAGACAAACUGUGAUCCAAUUGAACAGAAUUAACUACAUUUCUUUCUUUCUUUGGAACAGAAUUAACUGCAUUUCUACUGUAAUCAUCAAAGAUGACGAAAUCCUCCAGGUAACCUGA
rnacentral:lncRNA from 1 species